UACGUAGGGUGCGAGCGUUAAUCGGAAUUACUGGGCGUAAAGCGUGCGCAGGCGGUUUUGUAAGACAGGCGUGAAAUCCCCGGGCUCAACCUGGGAAUGGCGCUUGUGACUGCAAAGCUGGAGUGCGGCAGAGGGGGAUGGAAUUCCGCGGUGUAGCAGUGAAAUGCGUAGAUAUGCGGAGGAACACCGAUGGCGAAGGCAAUCCCCUGGGCCUGCACUGACGCUCAUGCACGAAAGCGUGGGGAGCAAACAGG
rnacentral:rRNA from 1 species